GACGAACCGUGCGAACGUUGUUCGGAAUCACUGGGCGUAAAGGGUGCGUAGGCGGGUCUUUAAGUCAGGGGUGAAAUCCUGGAGCUCAACUCCAGAACUGCCUUUGAUACUGAAGACCUUGAGUUCGGGAGAGGUGAGUGGAACUGCGAGUGUAGAGGUGAAAUUCGUAGAUAUUCGCAAGAACACCAGUGGCGAAGGCGGCUCGCUGGGACGUUACUGACGCUGAGACGCGAAAGCGUGGGGAGCAAACAGG
rnacentral:rRNA from 1 species